UGCAGUCGAACGGUAACAGAAAGAAGCUUGCUUCUUUGCUGACGAGUGGCGGACGGGUGAGUAAUGUCUGGGAAACUGCCCGAUGGAGGGGGAUAACUACUGGAAACGGUAGCUAAUACCGCAUAAUGUCGCAAGACCAAAGAGGGGGACCUUCGGGCCUCUUGCCAUCGGAUGUGCCCAGAUGGGAUUAGCUAGUAGGCGGGGUAACGGCCCACCUAGGCGACGAUCUCUAGCUGGUCUGAGAGGAUGACCAGCCACACUGGAACUGAGACACGGUCCAGACUCCUACGGGAGGCAGCAGUGGGGAAUAUUGCACAAUGGGCGCAAGCCUGAUGCAGCCAUGCCGCGUGUAUGAAGAAGGCCUUCGGGUUGUAAAGUACUUUCAGCGGGGAGGAAGGGAGUAAAGUUAAUACCUUUGCUCAUUGACGUUACCCGCAGAAGAAGCACCGGCUAACUCCGUGCCAGCAGCCGCGGUAAUACGGAGGGUGCAAGCGUUAAUCGGAAUUACUGGGCGUAAAGCGCACGCAGGCGGUUUGUUAAGUCAGAUGUGAAAUCCCCGGGCUCAACCUGGGAACUGCAUCUGAUACUGGCAAGCUUGAGUCUCGUAGAGGGGGGGUAGAAUUCCAGGUGUAGCGGUGAAAUGCGUAUAGAUCUGGAGGAAUACCGGUGGCGAAGGGGGCCCCCUGGACAAAAACUGACGCUCAGGUGCGAAAGCGUGCGGAGCAAAGAGGAUUAGAUACCCCGGGGAGUCC
rnacentral:rRNA from 1 species